GGAAUUUUCCGCAAUGGGCGAAAGCCUGACGGAGCAACGCCGCGUGAGGGAUGAAGGCCUCUGGGCUGUAAACCUCUUUUCUCAAGGAAGAAGAUCUGACGGUACUUGAGGAAUAAGCCACGGCUAAUUCCGUGCCAGCAGCCGCGGUAAUACGGGAGUGGCAAGCGUUAUCCGGAAUUAUUGGGCGUAAAGCGUCCGCAGGCGGCCUUUUAAGUCUGCUGUCAAAACGUGGGGCUUAACUCCAUACCGGCAGUGGAAACUGGAAGGCUUGAGUGUGGUAGGGGCAGAGGGAAUUCCCGGUGUAGCGGUGAAAUGCGUAGAUAUCGGGAAGAACACCAGUGGCGAAGGCGCUCUGCUGGGCCAUAACUGACGCUCAUGGACGAAAGCCAGGGGAGCGAAAGGGAUUAGAUACCCCUGUAGUCCUGGCCGUAAACGAUGAACACUAGGUGUCGGGGGAAUCGACCCCCUCGGUGUCGUAGCCAACGCGUUAAGUGUUCCGCCUGGGGAGUACGCACGCAAGUGUGAAACUCAAAGGAAUUGACGG
rnacentral:rRNA from 1 species